AACCCCGACAUCCUCUUUCUCUCGGAGACAAAAUUGGAUGGAAGGAGGAUGGAAAGAUUCAAAUGGAUACUUGGCAUGAGUAAUAUGGUGAUUAGGGAUUGUGAUGGAAAAAGCGGUGGCCUGGCCUUGAUGUGGAAGAAGGGAAUAAACAUUGAGCUGCACAAUUAUUCAAGA
rnacentral:rRNA from 1 species